rnacentral:antisense_RNA from 1 species
GGCGUUUGUACCAACAAUUUGUCGCGGUCUUCAAUGGUGCCGCCAAUAUGGUAGGGCAGGCCACAGUUGGCAAAGCUGAUAAAACUGUCACGUUCAAAUACAAUGAUAUUGGCGGAUUCAGAGAGGCGACGCGCUCUUGCUGCUGCUGAUGCGCCACCGGCGACGCCAC